AUGGUUGGAGGAGCUAUGGUGAGCGCCUCGACGGGAGUUAUGAACUCCCUCAUGGUGAAGCUGGCUAACUUGAAGGAGGAGAAGAAGGUGCGGAAGGAAACCAACAGUCUCAAGGGCGAGCUGAGCACCAUGGAAGCUCUCCUGUUCAAGGUUGCCACGCGGGAUGAUCCAGAUGUGCAAGCCAAGGAGUGGACAAGGCAGGUCCGCGAGGUGGGCUACGACACAGAAGACUGCAUCGACAUCUACGUGCAGCAGCGUUCGGCGCCAGCACCAGAUAGCAAGCCCCCCAAGCUGUUCCGGAGGUUGCUGGACAGGAGAUCGUCCGCAAAGACGCCAGAGUUCGCGGAGGAAAUCACAGAGCUCACGACCGUUUCAAAGACGCCAACGAGAGGCACAAGAGGUACAAGCUGGAGAAUCUGGGGACCAACGACACCCUUGAAGCCGAUGAACAUGGACCCAACAGCGCCAUCAUCCCUACCCAGCUGA
rnacentral:rRNA from 1 species